GACAGAGGGUGCAAACGUUGUUCGGAAUUACUGGGCGUAAAGCGCGUGUAGGCUGCUUCGCAAGUCGGAUGUGAAAGCCCUGGGCUCAACUCAGGAAGUGCAUUCGAAACUGCAGAGCUGGAGUCCUGGAGAGGAAGGCGGAAUUCUCGGUGUAGAGGUGAAAUUCGUAGAUAUCGAGAGGAACACCGGUGGCGAAGGCGGCCUUCUGGACAGUGACUGACGCUGAGACGCGAAAGCGUGGGGAGCAAACGGG
rnacentral:rRNA from 1 species